GCGCUUGAGACCAGAUUCAGCCAUUGGCAAACAACUGUCCCUUCUGGGUGGUGCACUUGUCUUUGGUUGGGCCAGCAUCGGUUGGGACGGCAGGAUAAAGACCCAGGGAAUGUGACUCCUCUAUGGAGUGUUAUAGCCCCAGGUGGCAUGCUGUCAGCCCCGACCGUGGACCGCGCCUCGGCUCGGAUGCUGGCUUAAUGGUCUUCAGCGACCCGUCUUGAAACACGGACCAAGGAGUC
rnacentral:rRNA from 1 species